AUGAAGGAACACUUUGAUGUUUGCAACAUGAGUGGAAUUGACCACUCCGACCGAUCACUUCGGUCCCGGUGGUCGACAAUCAACUCGGAUUGUCAAAGUUGGGCGGCCUGUCAAAAGGCGGUUGACAAGUUGAACCCAAGUGGCACGAAUGACGACGAUAGAGUAAAAGAGGAGAGGAAAACCAAGAAGGGGAAGAUCAAGAAAGGAAGGAUAUUUACUUUGCCUCAUUGCUAUGAAGUGUUGAAGGAUGAUGAGAAAUGGAAGAAGCGUGAAGAUUUGGAUGAUUUGCAUUUGAGCAACAAACGGAAGCGAACAAUUAAGUUGGAUGAUGCAUCAAGUGAUGACGGCAAGAGAAGCCCCACACCCAACUCAGUUUUAUACUCGAAGCCAAAGCGACCGGAUGGGUGCAAGAAAGAUAAAACCGAAAAGAAGAAGAGGAAAGGAGAUGAUGAGCUCAAGAAUGCUAUGGAAGCUAUUGUGAAGGCAAGAAAAGAAGCCAACGAGGUGAGAAAAAUGGCAAGGAACCAAGAUGCCACGGCCGAGGAGAGGAGUGGAGGAGAGGAAGGUGAGCAAUGA
rnacentral:rRNA from 1 species